rnacentral:lncRNA from 1 species
UUGUAUUGUUAGCCCAAAGGUGACUUUACAAUGAUGCACCAAGGCUCUUACCGUAAUUAGAUUUAUAUGUUUUUCAAGUUUGAUUACGGACUAUCUAAUUAAUAGCCCAAGUUGAUUAGAUAGAUAUGUUAUCAUCCAUUGAUUGCAUGCAUCACUUUUGGAUGAUAUUAAAUAAAAUAUGUUGUUUCCGCAAUUUUGAAUGCCUCUUCCCUAUCAAGCCAACUGUCUGCCGUUGAAACCUUGACUGGAAAUAAUUAUGUGAGAUGG